rnacentral:lncRNA from 1 species
AAUAAACUGCACAAGUAAUUGUUAACCCAGUUCAGCCAACUGCCUACUCUGGGGGAUACCAAUCCAGGAAGGAAAUCCACUAAUAGCUCUAGUUACUAAGACCUCCAGCAAACCCUAGGAUUUACGUCUUACACUAAGACCUCCAGCAAACCCCUGGUUUACGCCUUAUAACCUCGACACUACUCAUGCAACUGCUGCCUAGGAACUCCUAGACAUGAGAUCCCAUCUCACUUCCACUCACACAACACAACCUGUGUUGUUUAAACAAUGUUGGGAAUGAUGUGGCAACAACUUACCAAGACACUACUUCACUU